rnacentral:lncRNA from 1 species
UGCCGUCUGGUAGGAUUUCCGGCAGAUUUUCUGGCUCGCUUGUCUGUUGCUACAAUUCUCUUCAGUGUACUCAUUGAGAUUCCUCCCAAAGAACAAGCUCAAGGUCUCCAGCUGGGGUGUGCUGAUUCAUCAGUGGGGCUGCCUCAUGAGAAGCAAUUCAUGGCAGAUUGAAAACUUCACCUUCAGGAAGAGAGCAUUUUCAUCAAAUUUGACAAUGCGAAUUAUUUGUGUAUUAACUAUUAUACCAACUGUGAAUACUGACUGA